rnacentral:rRNA from 1 species
UACGGAGGGUGCGAGCGUUGUCCGGAAUCAUUGGGCGUAAAGGGCGCGUAGGUGGCCCGGUCAGUCCGUGGUGAAAGCGCGGGGCUCAACCCCGCGUCGGCCAUGGAUACUGCUGGGCUUGAGCACUGUAGAGGCAGGCGGAAUUCCGGGUGUAGCGGUGGAAUGCGUAGAGAUCCGGAAGAACACCGGUGGCGAAGGCGGCCUGCUGGGCAGUAGCUGACACUGAGGCGCGACAGCGUGGGGAGCAAACAGG